rnacentral:rRNA from 1 species
UACAGAGGGUGCGAGCGUUUAAUCGGAAUUACUGGGCGUAAAGCGUGCGUAGACGGUUAUUUAAGUCGGAUGUGAAAGCCCCGGGCUCAACCUGGGAAUGGCAUUUGAGACUGCAUAGCUAGGGUGCGGAAGAGGGAAGCGGAAUUUCCGGUGUAGCGGUGAAAUGCGUAGAUAUCGGAAGGAACACCAGUGGCGAAAGCGGCUCUCUGGAACGGUACUGACGCUGAGACGCGAAAGCGUGGGGAGCGAACAGG